AGAAUGGCUCAAGAAGUACUGACACAUUUAAAGGAGCAUCCUGAUGCUUGGACAAGAGUCGACACAAUUUUGGAAUUUUCUCAGAAUAUGAAUACGAAAUACUAUGGACUACAAAUUUUGGAAAAUGUGAUAAAAACAAGGUGGAAGAUUCUUCCAAGGAACCAGUGCGAAGAUACUGAAACAAGAAUGGCCCAAACAUUGGCCAACUUUUAUCAGUGAUAUUGUUGGAGCAAGUAGGACCAGCGAAAGUCUCUGUCAAAAUAAUAUGGUGAUUCUUAAACUCUUGAGUGAAGAAGUAUUUGAUUUCUCUAGUGGACAGAUAACCCAAGUCAAAUCUAAGCAUUUAAAAGACAGCAUGUGCAAUGAAUUCUCACAGAUAUUUCAACUGUGUCAGUUUGUAAUGGAAAAUUCUCAAAAUGCUCCACUUGUACAUGCAACCUUGGAAACAUUGCUCAGAUUUCUGAACUGGAUUCCCCUGGGAUAUAUUUUUGAGACCAAAUUAAUCAGCACAUUGAUUUAUAAGUUCCUGAAUGUUCC
rnacentral:lncRNA from 1 species